AUCAUCCCUCUGCAAGCCUCCCGUAGAAGCAGAACGACCGGAGGUGGUCGCCUUCUUCCUCUCCGGCAACCACGGCCGCAGUCACUUCCUCUGCGAUUUCGAUGCCACCAGUGCCUCCCCCUCACUUAUUUCUUAUCCACCAGCCUCCUUGAGCACUCACUGAUCCAUCCCCAUCAUCAUUUUUACUCGAGAUCGACCGUAGGCGAAAUCCCUCUUCCUCCUCCGCCGGAGCUCUUCGGGAGUGCUCGCAGCCGGCGACUCCGUCCACUCCGGAGACCAUGGCGACCACCGGAAGGAUCGUAUCAACCUUCUAAGCACGCCCAUGUGCUCAGAUCACCGAGGGGCGUCGAUCGCCGAAGCCCCGCCUCUGUCCGGCCGCGUGAGAGAGGGCGCGCGAAGACUAGUCAAACCGGACCAGUGGGCCAGGCGGGGCCACUGUCAGCGACUCAAGCCGCGCCAGAUCGGCUAUAAGUGGAAAUGUAUUCUCCAUAUUACGUCUUCACUUCCCAAAAAGCGUAAAUACAAUCGAACUGUUUUCUUUUAUAAACUUUAAUUAAAACAGAUUUUAACUACUUCUUUGACUGCCUCUGGUUUUUAAACCACAAAUCCAAAUGACUUGAUUAUUUUUUUGUAUUCCUCAAAUUUCAUCUAGUUUAUUUUACUAUUUAUUUCAAAAUUUUCCAACCAACUUUUUUGUACUGUUUUGGAAUUAUGUGGUAAUUGCAUUAUUUUGAAAAUAGGGAAAAUGGAGGGAAGACAAUUUUCAAAUUUUUUGGAGUGCACCCAACCCUUCUACAUGAUCAAGGCAAGCAUUUUGAACACUUGAUAUGAUGACUGCUUGGUUGAUUGCUUGCUAGAAUAUUUGAAACAUGUUAUGUUACCUCAUAUGAAAUUGCAUACAAAUGAUCAUGCAUUCCUUGUCAAUAUUUGACUUCACCUAAACAUGAAAUAUUUGUGCCACAUAUGCCUAUGCCUGUUCUGACUAACUUGCAGGAAAAAAUUGGUCACUAGUGAAAGUGAUCGUAAGACAGGAAUCUCGUUGUGACGAGAAUGAUCAGUGAGGACAUGUUGGGACAUGCCAAGUGGUGACCCUGUUAUCUUCCACCAAGGAUAUAUAUUGUGCUAACCACUGCAGGAAAUUUUUAAACCUCCUGAGUCGAUUGUAGAUCGAGUCUUGUUCCAGUAACCCCCGUACUUGAUUUGUGCUGCCACUUGUCCCUGGCACAGGUAGGGUAUGGUUCAGUAAGUUGUUGACCCCUUUCCUGCACACACUAUACAGAGGGCCGCGAUGAGGGUCCCAAGGCCUUGGAUUAAAGCCAGUCAUCGGGUCAGGAGGCAUGGGUGUCUUCGGUUGAGGCUGAAGAAGGGUAGCACCCCUAGUUGCGCGGUAUAAAUAUUGUGAUCCCAUGCUAUUCGAGGUGGUAGCCUUCCCGUCUUAGAGUUUUACUUGAGUGAUGUUUUGGAUGAUUCCUGGCAUCAGGAAAGUUAAGCUGGUGUGUGCUGGUUAGGUGUGUUUGCAACCCAAAGACCGUAAACAGAAUUAGUCAACGUCUCGUGGCUAACUAAAGAAAUCAUUUACUUGUGGGUAAAGAAUACAACAUCUACAGAGUAUAAAACUUAUUUGAAUAGCCGUGUCCGUCGCUUCAGACACCCAACUGGCAUGUACUUUCUUUUCUUUUGGAAUUCACCGGGCGGUGCUACCGCCUAGAAUCCCUUUACCUUUGAUUUCAUUUGGAGUAAAGCCCUUUGCGUGGAGUCGCGAAGACACCCAAUUGUGGCAUUCUUUUAUAGUUUUCUCUUGGGUUCCUUCGGAACGGUUAUACCUCUUGAGACCUGAAUUUAAAUUAUUUUUGCAAUAUUAUUAUUUACUUAUACGUUGCUAAUAUUAAGCUGACAAAACUUUAUUAAUUGUGCACAUAUGAUACUCCACAUGAUUGCAUUAAAUUCUCGUCAUUUUUUUCGACAAAGGAUGAAUUUUAUUACUCAAAAUGAAGCAUCAAGAUAAUACAAACAUAGUGAGGACACACCUGGCCUCUGCAUAUCUAGGAUGCACGCAGCGAACACUAACACACACACACACACAAAAACCGCCGGCAAAUAGCAAAGCCAUAUAAAACCAAAGCUAUGCCUAAGCGAGAGAGAAAAAAAAAACCAUCCCGAAGCGUUCUAAAUCGCGAUCGACAACCUACAACAAUGACCAUAUCCGCACCAAUCAUCUCAUGACACCACAAGGACAUCGACAUUCUUCAACAGCAACGCCUUCAGAAAGGGAGCGACGCUCAAGCACCGCCGUCACCAGAACCAACCAUCAAAGGGCAAAUUCUAGAUUUUCACUUUGAAGAAACUGUCCGAGCAUCUCCGAGCAAUGCCUUCAACAAGGUAACGACGGCGAAACAUCGUCAUUGCCAGGUGUAUAACCGACAUGGUUCUGACCUAGGUUUUCACCCCGGAGCUCGAGACCAGGGUACUCAAAAAGCACCACCAUCGAAGUCAAGCAUGUGUUGUCACCACCACUUUUCCACGAUCCUAGCAGCUACAUGUGCUGGGUUAGAAAACCGACAGCCUCCACUGCGCAACCAUACCCUCUACGUCAAGACAUCAUCCAUAGAUUGCAUAACACCACCGAAGCAACCACUGGAUCUUGGAGAGUAUCACUUGCAAAGACCUUUCAUUCGCUAUCGCAGUCCGCCGUGAGGCCGCUGCCACGUCGAAGUGUUAAUCCUCGACCAACACCGAUGACGGAGCACUUUACCACCGAUUGCCCCCUCGCCGGCCUUGAACACCACCGUGUAUAUCCGGCCAAGCCUGCAACUGCCGGUCGGACCUCACAGGUACCGGUCUUGCCGCGAUCCGUGCGACGAAUUCUUGCAUGAUAGAAGCGGAGAAUCCUGAUCCAGCUGAGGACGUCAGGGCCUCACGCCAUCACCCUCCCUGGCUAGAUGCAUGUCGGACCACACCGGUGACUUACUGCAGUAGGCGCCGGACAUGCAACAACCAAAGAUCUAAGACCAAUCGAUGGCAUCUCAGUUUGGCACUACCAGCUUUAACAAAGACGGAGGAUCGUGAAUUUGCUUCCAGGACUCAGCCAGCAAGGAAGCAAACUAGCCCCGCGCCACUGGCACAGAGCCGUGCCACCCUGCCAUUAGGAGCCACCACGCCACCGGACGCCCAGCCCUGCCGCCAACCGACGGGUCGCGUCGAUGCGCCGCCACGAACUGCUGCCCUGCAGCACGGGAGCCGCCGCGAGGAGACGCCCCGCUCCCGCCGUCGGCCGCGCGGGCUUCGCCCGGCGGCGUCCUCCGGCGGCGGCAUGGCGGGAGGAGUUGGUAGAUCGACUGGUGGCGCUAGGGUAGGACGUGCGCCCGAGUCGCCCUGCAUUAAAUUCUCGUCAUGGCAUGGUAGAAUACACUUAAAAUUAACAGCAUGCAUUCUGUCUGCUUUUAUUAUAUCUUCUGUCCAUGAUGUUUGCGAGUACAUUCAAACGUACUCAUUAGUUUGUUCCUGACUAUUGUCUUGCUAAAUCAUGACUUGAGGAGGAGCUCUACGAAGACACCUCACAACCUAGGAAUCGGGGAUAGUAGCCACGUGAGAUCCACAAUCUGUUUAGGAGACCAAUAAUCUGGGCGUGGUUGUGGCGGAGUCCUGAUUCGUGUGAUAAAUACACACGCAGACCUCAAGAUCGAGGAUCAGAGGAGAUCGAAACAAGAACAACAACAAGAAGAAGAAGCCAUGGCGGCGGCGCGAGGAGGCUCGGCGGCGGCGCGAGGAGGCUCGGCGGCGCCGCGCUCCAGCGGGCCCAGGCGACAGUCGUCCCCGAGGGGAGACGGCGGGCGCUGUGGACCUCCAGGGUAUGCUCUCUUCCUCCCGCUGCAAAACAAAAAAAUCACAUCUUUUAUCGCGUCGAUUGCCAAUUCGACUAUGACUAAUUAUGAGUUAUGCUCUGCGAGUACCUAAAUUUUCUUCUUCUUGGGUUUGUAUCCGUGCUCGUGGACUAGGCCACCAGCGUAGAGGAGAAGAAGGUUGUAGAGGAUGUUGGAAAUAUAAGCAAUUUACCGAAUGAUUUUAUUAACAGAAAUAGUAGAUAAAACAUGACUAAAAUAGCAAAUAUAAAGCAAGUCAUGCAAUCUGACAGAGAAAAGGUAAACAUCGUCUGCAUAUAUGAACUUGAGGUAAACACAUCUAGAACAGUCACUAGAUGAAGUUGGUUAUACGACAUAGAAUCUAACAUACGUAGGACAGAAACUAGAGCCAAGAACUGUAACAGGACUUCUAACAGAAAGGAGAAGAACACGUACGACACAGCAGCAGCAGAAGCGCUGGACUUGGGGUCGGUGUCCUCGCCUGCCAUGUCGUCGAGGAGGUCGUGGACGUCGGGGAAGAAGUCGUCGUCGGGGAAAUAGUCGUCGGCGACCGGAUCGUCCGUGAUGAAUCAGCCAGUAGUCGCGCAGAGCGCUCCCCAAAAACCUUAUCACCCUUCUCCCGUACAGGACUCAAAGAGUGCGGUUUCGGAGGCCUACUGUCCCGACCUGCGGUGCACGCCGCAAGCCGGGAUGGAGAAGAUCGUAGCAGCAGCGCAGUGCUCAGGAACCGGUGGCGAGAGGAAGAAGUAGUUCUGGUGCAUCUUGCUGAGAGGAGCGACCUCCCUUUUUAUAGGCGCAAGAGAAGGAGGCGAGAGGGCAACGCCGGGAGCUGAAGGGACCGAGGGAGAUGAAACGAACAGACAACAGCCGAAGGGUGCAACGUUCGCAUUUAAUCUCCACUACAGCAAAAACUUUCCGUCUCCCGAGUGACCUUUCGUUUACCCGUAGUGCGUGGCAAAAAUUUAGACAUCGGCUCGGCUCAUUCCCGCAACCCGCGUCGCGUCGUGACGAGGCGAGGCGUGGCGUGGCGAGGCGGGCGGCGGAGGAGGAGCGCGCGUGGAUGUCCCUCUUGUUCUCAUGCUCAUACAAGUGGGGAAAGAACCCCCCCCCCCUUAUAAGGAGGUCCAACUCCCACUAAACUAGCAAUGUGGGACUAAACUUUUAGUAGUAUCACUUGCCUUGCACAAAUGGGCUAAGUGGGCCUCUAGGAUUUAUUAGGAAUCUCUGAAAUAGUUAUUGGGCUGCCCAAAAUAGACUAAAUUCCAGCAAUCCCCCACCAGAUCCCAGAGGCACACAGAAAUUUGCCUUUGGUUCCAAAAUACUGUUUUAUAUACCGGUACUGCAGUGGAGACUGUUAAGUUAAACUUCCAUCUAGAACUCUAUGCUACACUAGUAAGCAACUUGAACAGUGGACUCGGCCUUGAACUGCAAGUUUUCUGCGAAUCUAGCUUCACAUAAAGCCUUGACCGAUACGUGGCUACCGUGGGCCUUCCCCGUGGGUGAAGCUUAUGUGUCAUACUCCGUGACCUUUCAUGAGUUUACUAGAGAGAACCCUACUCUCAUAGAUUGCGACGUUUGACAAUCAGACUCAUAUAGGUGUAUUCUUCAAAAGAUGUUCUGCAGGAUAACAUCUCUGCUUAAAUAAGCCACUUAGAACACAUUAAGAUAUACAUCAACCUGCCAUGUAGAUUAGGAGAGUAUUGCAUCUUCAUGGAGUGGUAUUGUGAAUAGUAGGGAUACUCUCCUCUCAGUUGACCAACAACUUGUCUUCCACAUCUAAUUCACGGGAUCUCCGAUCACAAAGAAUAGGUUACCACUGUGAACAACUCAUAUUGUGGGUCUCAUAUCCAUCUCCCUUGAUGCAUUAUCUAUCACAUUACGUGAUAGACCUUAGUAAAAGGAUCUACCAGAUUUUUAGACGUUUGGACAUAAUCCAAUGCAAUAACUCCGGAGUUUUUCAUUUUCCUGACAGACUUUAACCUUCUCUGAACGUGUCUUGAUGACUUCAUGUUAUCCUUUGAGCUGCUCACUUUCGUGAUCACAGUUUGAUUGUCGCAGUUCAUAAGGACACCCGGUACAGGUUUCUCAACAACCGGCAAGUCAUUCAAGAGUCGGCGAAGCCAAUCUGCUUCGACCGUAGCUGUAUCUAGUGCUGUGAGUUCUGCUUCCAUAGUUGACCUCGUUAAGAUGGUCUGCUUGCAAGACUUCCAAGAAACAGCGCCACCUCCAUGAGUGAAUACAUAACCGCUUGUAGCCUUUAUCUCAUCAGCAUCUGAGAUCUAGUUUGAGUCACUAUACCCUUCAAGCACCUUUGGAUGCCCAGUGUAGUGAAUUCCAUAAUUCGCAGUGCCUUUCAAAUAACGCAAAACUCUCUCUAGAGCUUUCCAAUGCACAUCUCCUGGUUUUGAAACAAACCGACUCAGUUUGCUAACAGCAAAAGAGAUGUCAGGUCUUGUAGCACUUGCUAAGUACAUAAGCGAGCCAAUAAUCUGAGAAUACUUCAAUUGAUCUCUAGCAAUUCUUCGAUUCUUUCGAAGCAGCACGCUAGCGUCAUAUGGUGUUGGAGAGGGCUUGCAGUCACUAUAGCCAAAGCGACUCAAGAUCUUUUCCACAUAGUGAGAUUGAAGCAAUGUAAUCCCGCCAUCAUCAUCUCUCAACAACUUGAUGUUCAGAAUGACAUCAGCCACUCCUAAAUCCUUCAUCUCAAAACAGUGAGAUAGGAAAUCCUUGACCUCCUUAAUAACAUUCAGAUUUGUUCCGAAAAUUAGUAUGUCAUCAACAUACAAGCAAAGCAUAAUUCCCUCACCCCCAUCAUGGCGAUGGUACACACAUUUGUCAGCUUUGUUCACAACAAAGCCUGUAGCUGUUAAAGUUCUUUCAAACUUCUCAUGCCACUGUUUGGGUGCUUGCUUGAGUCCAUACAAGGACUUCAGCAACUUGCACACUUUCCCUUCCCGACCAUCUACUACAAACCCAUCUGGUUGUUCCAUAUAAAUUUCCUCAUCCAACUCUCCAUUUAGGAAAGCAGUCUUAACAUCCAUUUGAUGAACGAGAAGACCAUGUGAGGCAGCUAGUGAAAGUAGAACUCGAAUAGUGGUCAGUCGAGCCACAGGUGAGUAAGUAUCAAAGAAAUCUUCACCUUCCUUUUGGGUAUAACCCUUAGCCAUGAGCCGAGCCUUGUACUUUUCAAUAGUACCAUCAGGCCUAAGCUUCUUCUUGAAUACCCAUUUGCAUGCUAUAGGUUUGCACCCAUAAGGACGAUCGGUUAUCUCCCAAGUUUCAUUCGCCAAGAUGGAAUCCAUCUCGCUACGAACUGCUUCCUUCCAGUAGUCAGCAUCUUCAGAUGCAUAGGCCUCUGAAAUAGAACUGGGAGUGUCAUCUAUGAGAUACACAAGAAAAUCAUCACCAAAGGACUUUGCAGUCCUCUGUCUCUUGCUCCUAAUAGGAACUUCAUUGUUCUCCUCCACAGGACUUUCAAAGUGUUCCAUCGAAAUGGCAGGUUCGGUAAUUGUAACUGGUUCCUGAUUUGAUGAACUAGGCAUCUCCUGAUUAGAUGAGGUAGCCAUAUCCUUCAUGGGAAAGAUAUCUUUAAAGAAAGUCGCAUCAUUCGACUCCAUGAUCGUACCGACAUGCAUAUCAGGUACCUCAGAUUUUACAACCAAGAAUCUAUAGCCAAUGCUAUGAAAAGCAUAUCCCAAGAAAACACAAUCCAUAGUCUUUGGUCCAAGUUUCCGCUUCUUUGGAAUUGGAACAUUGACUUUCGCCAAACAACCCCAUGUUCGCAGAUAAGAGAGUUUUAACCUUUUCUUCUCCCACUCCUCGAAUGGAGUUAUCUCUUUGUUUUUUGUGGGAACUCGAUUUAGGACAUGACACGCUGUCAAUAUCGCCUCCCCCCACCAUGCCUUGGAGAGACCUGAUGUGUCUAACAUGGCGUUAACCAAAUCAGUUAGAGUACGAUUCUUUCUUUCGGCCACCCCAUUUGACUGAUGUGAGUAGGGAGGCGUCCUCUCAUGGAUUAUACCAUGUUCCGCACAAAAAGCAUCAAAUUCAUUGGAAAAAUACUCUCCACCACGGUCGGACCUAAGCCUCUUGAUUUUUCGAUCAAGUUGGUUUUCCACUUCAGCUUUAUAGAUCUUGAAAAAGUUGAAAGCCUCAUCCUUAGAUUUCAGAAGAUACACACAACAGUAUCUAGUGGAGUCGUCAAUUAACGUCAUGAAAUAUUUCUUUCCACCUUUUGUUAAAACACCAUUCAUUUCACAUAGAUCUGAACGUAUAAGUUCUAGUGGUGCAAGAUUUCUCGUUUCCGCAGUCACGUGAGAUUUACGAGGUUGCUUAGCUUGCACAAACACUUGACACUUAGAUCCCUUAAUGGUGGUGAAACUAGGGAUUAAGUUCAACUUUGCUAGUCGCGACAUGCAACCAAAGUUAACAUGACAGAGUCGUGAAUGCCACACAUUUGAUUCACUAUUGUUGCAAAUAUGAUUAACAACUUUAUUGCAAACGUCUGAUAAGGAUAAACAAAACAGGCCUCCUGACUCAUAGCCUUUACCAACAAAGGUUCCAUACUUGGAUAUUACAAAUUUAUUCGACUCAAAGACAAGCUUAUAGCCAUCUCUACACAGAAGAGAUCCGCUAACAAGAUUUUUAUUGACGGAGGGGACAUAAUGCACGUUCUUCAGCCGCACGAUCUUCCCCGAAGUAAACUUCAGAUCGACCGUGCCAACACCACAAACAGAAGCAGUUGAACCGUUGCCCAUCAGCACGGUUGAAGUCCCUGCGGUCUGAUAAGACGAAAACAUAUGGAAAUAUCAUCGCAUACAUGCACAUUAGCACCCGUGUCAAUCAACCAGUCAGGAGAAUGACAUACUGAAAGAAUCGUGGGAAAUAUACCAUACCCAGCAUCCUUCAUGUCAGUGUCUCCAAUGACAACAUUAGCGGUCUUGCCGCCUUUCCUAGGAUGACGCUUGUCAUAGCGAUUAGGGCAACUAGGAGCCCAAUGAUCAGGAUCUCCACACAGAUGACAAGCACCUUUCUUCUUGCCAUUCUUCUUUUUGAAGUUCGUGUGUUGCACAGCCUUGUUUUUCCCAUCAAACUUUGCUUUACCAUCAAACUUGCCCUUGUUCUUGAACUUGUGGGGCUGGAAGUUCUGUUUCUGUACCACAUUGGCACUAGAUCCUCCCUCAAUACCUCGAGCACGUGUGUCCUUUGCUCUCUCCUUUUCUUCCACAUCAAGAGUACCAAUGAGAUCCGAAACGGAAAACUCCUGUCUCUUAUGUUUCAGUAAGGUAGCAAAGUUCCUGCAUGAAGGAGGAAGCUUAGUGAUGAUACCGCUGGCAACAAACUUGUCCGGUAGCAUGCAAUUGAAGUGCUCAAGUUCUCUAGCAAAUGACUGUAUCUCAUGAGCUUGCUCAACCACGGAGCGCUAUUCAGUCAUCCUGUAAUCAUAGAAUUGCUCCAUGAUGUACAGCUCAGUGCCGGCAUCCGAGACCCCAAACUUGGCCUCGAGUGCGUCCCACAUAUCUUUUCCAUUAUCAAUUGCCGCAUAAGCAUCAACUAUGUUCUCUCCAAGAACACUCAAGAGCGCAGCCUUAAACAAGGUAUCCAUUUCCUGAAAAGCUUGUGCCUGUUGGGCAUCUUGCUCUCCUUCAGGUUUGCCAAGAGUGGCGUCAUAGCAACUCAUGGUUUGAAACCAUAAGACUGCUCUCACGCGCCACCUCUUAUAGUGGAUACCCUCAAACAUAGGAUGUCUCAUGGAAGCAGCAAAACCACUUGGGGUAAAUUGCCUAUAAUAAGGUUUUUGGAUUGUUGGAAAUAUGAGCAAUUUACCGAAUGAUUUUAUUAACAGAAAUAAUAGAUAAAACAUGACUAAAAUAGCAAACAUAAAGCAAGUCAUGCAAUCUGACAGAGAGAAGGUAAACAUCGUCUGCAUAUAUGAACUUGAGGUAAACACAUCUAGAACAGUCACUAGAUGAAGUUGGUUAUACGACAUAGAACCUAACAUACGUAGGACAGAAACUAGAGCCAAGAACUGUAGUAGGACUUCUAACAGAAAGGAGAAGAACACGUACGGCACAGCAGCAGCAGAAGCGCUGGACUUGGGGUCGGUGUCCUCGCCUGCCAUGUCGUCGAGGAGGUCGGGGAAGAAGUCGUCGGCGACCAGAUCGUCCGUGAUGAAUCAGCCAGUAGUCGCGCAGAGCGCUCCCCAAAAACCUUAUCAUCCUUCUCCCGUACAGGACUCAAAGAGUGCGGAGGAACGACCUCCCUUUUAAUCAAGGGAGAUGAAACGAACAGACAGCAGCCGAAGAGUGCAGCGUUCGCAUUUAAUCUCCUGCAACCCGCGGCGCGGCGCGGCGCGGCGGACGGCGGAGGAGGAGCGCGCGUGGAUGUCCCUCUUGUUUUCAUGCUCAUACAAGUGGGAAAAGAACCCCCCUUAUAAGGAGGUACAACUCCCACUAAACUAGCAAUGUGGGACUAAACUUUUAGUAGUAUCCCUUGCCUUACAUAAAUGGGCUAAGUGGGCCUCUAGAAUUUAUUAGGAUUUCCGAAAUAGUUAUUGGGCUGCCCAAAAUAGACUAAAUUCCAGCAGAGGAUGCCUUGAACCAGAUUGACCAGAAGAAGGAGGAACUGUACAAUCUCAUCUCCGGCGUCAGAGACGACCUACGGCGUCCACGGGAGGAGAGGCCGGCUAAACAACUUUUUGCUUGAUGAACUCGCCGUGCAAGUCAAGCCAAGACCCAACGAUGUCCUUUGGUAUGCAUACACAUCCGGAUUAUCCCUGAUGUUCUUUCUUUUUUUUAAAAAAGGAGGAUGACCCCCGGCCUCUGCAUCUGGGCGAUGCAUACGGCCAUUUUAUUAAUUAUUCUCACAAGACCUUACAAAGUAAUACAAUAGUAAGACUAAAGCCGCCGUCUAAGCCACUCUAUCCAGUUGAUGAAGGGGCGCAGAUAGCCUGAGCCUAAUACCAAGCAGGCAUCGCAGCCAAACCUAACAUCUAAGACCUGAGAUCCCAUCCAGGACGCCUGCCGGGCAUGGGUCUCACCCGUCCGGCGUGCACUCAGAGGCCACCGCCACCAACUUCCACCGCUCCAUCUUCAGAACUGUACUAAUGCAUCAACCUUGCUCGGUCCAGCUAUCGUCAACGCCACCACGACGCCCAACGGCACCUCUUCCCACCGCGCAAACAUCUGAGGACGUCGCGGUCGCCACUGAUACACCUCAGCACCAUGCUGCCAAGUAUCACCAGCCGACACAGCUUGAAGUACCCUCAUGUUCUUCUUAUUAUGCUGAUGCUGAUGCUGAUGAUCUUCAUACAAGUAACAUUAUAAGCGUGUUAUGGUUUUUCUCAUUUGUUGUUCUUGUGCUGAUCACGUAUGUGCGUGCGUGCAGGCACAAAAGCCGAAGAGCUCAAAGAUUGGAUCGUCUUAGGUGCCAUGUGGGGGGAUGCACUAUUAGCGCUGCUUUCGCGUAUGGCCUGUGUCGGUUGGCGGACGAGAUCAAUCCGGAGAUCAGCCACAAGGCUGCUGCUUGGCUGAGGAAAAACGUAUGGCACACAGAGUAACAUCCACUAGCUUAUCUGCACUAGCUAUGUUCAAUCGAGUCCCUUGUAUGAAGCAAAACACUAUAGUAACAUCCACUAGUUCUUCAGCACUAGCUAUGUUCAAAGUCAUUGUAUGAAGCAAAACGCCACAAAGUAACAUCCACUAGAUCUUCACCAUCUUCUUGCAUGAAGCAUACUUUUUUAUGACCAUCUUUGUUCUGAUGAGCUUAUCUCUUCUAACUUUAUGUGAAAAAAAGAGUGCAUGAUG
rnacentral:lncRNA from 1 species